GGGUCCGGACACACUGAGGAUUGACAGGCAAAAGAUACAAGUUUUCUUUGUGAGAGCUUGCAUUGUAAAAUAUGCGAGUCCUUUCAUGAUUAUGUGAUAGGUGGUGCAGGGCCGUUCUUAGUUCGUGGAGUGAUCUGUCUGCUUAAUUGCGUUUCACAACGAUUUAAAAUGCUAUGUUUUCUGUGUUUGCUGUUCGGUUUUAGCUCUUACGGGAGUUUUUAACUUUGAACGCACACGGCGUAGCUUAAAACAAUCGGAAAGCAACGAACGUGACCGCAACCUCUUGUUGCCUUUAUUUUUAAAAGCGUAGAAAAUUUUAUAUUUUCUUACGCUUGAAAAAGGCUUUAAAACUAGAGGGACCGCUGUUCUAUUCUCUUAAACCAGAGGAAGAUUGCGGCAAUAACAGGUCUGUGAUGCCCUCAGAUGUUCCGGGCUGCACACGUGCUACAAUGAUUGUUGCAGUGAGCAUCUAUUUUCAAACGCUACCGUUGCGGAUUUUGUGAGAAGGGUUCUUGUUUUAAAGCUUUCGGGUGGAGAAGCAGGUUCUUUUUUUCACAAUUUAUUCCGCGUUACGUGUCAGCUAAACCUGCUUCGAAAGCAAGUAGGU
rnacentral:rRNA from 1 species